UAUAGAGGCCAAGAUUCCUGAAUGCCUUGUUGGAUGAGGCCUGACAAUUGCAACAUCAGGGAUAUCUCGAGAGGCAGUGAUCUCCCCCCAUCCUAGGUGAUAUUGGAGGGGAAGUGCCUGGUUGACUAGUGAUGAUGAAGAAUGGUUACUGCCCUCACAAAAUGCUAAUUCUUCCCAUGUCUCACCAUGCUGAAAACCUUCAGGAUUUUGGUUCAGGUUUGGAUGGAAAAAAGAGGAAACAGCACCACACAACAUGACAUGUUGCUCUUUGGCCAUAAGGCAAAGCGGAUAAAAUGAAUGCUGGGCAAGAUGCAUUCUUGUAGUAACAGCAACAUCACUUUAUCACCCUUUGUGUUUCAAAGUGUCAAGACUCACAGAAGGACCUGUAUCCCAAUUACUCAGCCUGAGCACUGUGAAAUGACUGCUUGGUCUUACUCCACCAGCUCUUGCCUGACACAGAACACUUUUCAUGCCCUAUCAGGAGUCUUAGACUGUCAUCAAAGUUUUUCAGCUGCAGCCAUCAUCUAGGAUAAGCAGAAAGCAAUAGAUUGACUUUGUCAAUAAUAUUUUGGAUACAAUAAUAUUCAGGAUAUGUUAGAUUAAAUUCUCAGGAGGUCUUCAGUGGUGCACAGCUCCUGAGUAAAAAUUGAACCAGAGAAAAUUACCCAUUGACAUUAGAUCAGUAGAAACUCAGGCAUGUGGACAAUUAUAUCAUCAAAGCCACCUGGAAGCUUUUAAUACUUUGAAGGUGUGUGCACCUACCUCUGCUUCCUUCUGAUACUUCAGGGCAAAAAAAGGAAAAAAGCUCAUGUCAUGGUUUAACCCCAGCAGGCAACUGAGCACCACGCAGCUACUCACUCACUCCACUUGUCCCCUACAGGGUGGGGAAUUGGAAAAAAAUAUGUAAACCUUGUGAGUUAGGAGCAGUUUAAUAAUUGAAACAAAAAUCCCCAUAAUAAUGAAACAUAAUAAACCCUAUAAUAAUAACAAAUAGUAAUAAUAAUUAUAAUAUUACCACUAACAAUAACAACACCAAUAAUAAUAAUGGAAAGGAGAAGGAGAGAGAGAUAAAACCCAGGAGAAACAAGUCAUGUCCAACACAAUUGCUCACCAGCCUCUGACCAAUGCCCAGCUCAUCCCCUGGCAGCAAUUGGUCCCUCCUGACCAACUUGCCCCAGUUUAUACACUGAGCAUGACAUUCAGUGUUACGGAAUAUCCCUGUGGCCAGUUUUUGUCAGCUGUCUUGGUUGUUCUCCCUCCCAGCUUCUUGUUCUCACAGGCAGAGCACGGGAAACUGUAAACUCCUUGAUUUUUAGAGUUAGCCUUCCUAGCAACAACUAAAACAUUAGCGUGUUAUCAACAUUAUCCUCAUCCUAAAUCCAAAACAGCACUCAUAAGCUGCGAAGCAGAAAAUUAACUCUAUCCCAGCCAAAAUCAGUACAGCCUUAGAAUCAAAAUUAUGUAUGAAGUGGAAAAAAUUCUUUCUGUCCCUGGCAGGUAAUCAGUAGAAGCUCCAGAGCAUGGAAUAAAUUUUAUGUAAACAUAUAAUGUAGCAGCACCUUUUUUUUUUUUUCAAACCCACUUGGUGUUUCAAGGACUCAUAUCACAAGUUUAAAUUGAAGUUUCUGCCCAUCACGACUCUAUUUGAAAGGCUAUUCCAGGAUGUCAUUCUUCUGAUGGUUGGAAACCUUCCCCAAUUUCCAGUCUAAAUUUAUUCAUGACCAAUUUAUAUCCAUUUGAUCUUGUUCUAGCAUUAUCCUUUAGGUUAAACAAUCCUCCUCUCUCCCCAAUAUUUUCUCCUUGAUAUAUCCAUACAUAGUCAUUUUCUCCCAUCUCCAGUCUUGUUUCACUAGGCCAAACAAGCCAAGUUAUUUUUUUCUCUUUUUGUAAGAUAGAUCUUCUGUUGCUGAGGAAAGAACUCUUUCUCUUCACCCCUGCUACCUUCAGUUUUUCUGCUUGGAAGGGAGGUAGCAGGAACUGUGGUAUCAGAAACGAGGCCUUACCAGCACUGUGGGUGGUGUUUCUCUGGGUCCACCAACAAAGCCUGGCCUGAUGCACCUGAGAUUCAGACUGGCUUUUCACCAUCCCUGUGCCUCACUCCCAGCUCCCUGUCAUCUGGCACUGGGAUAGAAGCACAGCUUUCCAACAUUGGCAACAUAUCAUUUCUAUGCAAUUUGCUUGGAUGUCGAAGGAUAUGUGUAUUAGGAAGAUGAAAGUUGCACUUUCUUCCAUGGCAAAUUUGUUCUUUUAUGCAGAACUGUUCCCAACAGAAACAUUCUAAGGAAAAUUCUUAGAGUGGAAAUUUCCAUUCUCCCUUCACAUGAAUACAACGUGCUCUUAAAUUGGAAGCCUAACUCCUAGGAGGACCUAGUAAGCAAACACAAAGAGACAAGGCUAUUUUGGACCUUGCUUUGGAGAAAUGUGGGAUUUUCUGACUUGUUUCAUUUUAAUUAAAGUAACUUUAGAGAAAGAUGAAAACCAAAGACCUGUAAGUCUGAAGUGAAUUGAAAAAAAAACAGUCUCAGAAGUCCUAAUCUCCAAGGGCCUUGUCUCAGCUUCAGGAGGCAGCUGAGCUUGCUCUGCACCUCUCUGGAUUAGAGCCUGAGAAAAGCAAGUGCAGAAUGCAACAGCUUUUUUAAAGCUUAAAUUGCUUUAAAACAAGAAAAUAUGUUAGCAAACUAUGUGAUGAUUUGUUGGGGAUAGUAAGAGAAAUAACUGUGUAAGGAAGCAGGUUUCCUUCUGUUGCUGUUGUUGUUUGGGGGUUUUUGGUUGUUUUUUGUUGUAAAUGUUAUAAAGCAAACAGGAAGGGAUGCACUGAAAUAGUGCAAUUCAACAUGUGAUUAAAAUAGAGUUAUUUCUUGUUUCAACUGGAUUUUCUUGUUUUCUUGCUUGGAUGCCUACCCAAGCAUUCAGUAGAGUUUGGCUGAAUACUGAAUGUGGUUAAGAAAUGUCCAAGAAGUUCCCAGCAAUAAACUGUGUGAGCAUUCUGCAUGGCCAGAAUUUGCACUGACCCGUGAAAAGAAACCUUUUCACACUGGUUGUACUCAAAUUUGAUGUAUAGAUGACAUAGAAUUGGACUCUUCUUUAUGCUAAAUGUUUGGAAAAGAGGGAACAAAUCUCAUUCUUCAAGAGCCUGGAGAGCAGCUGCCAGUUCAGGGUUGGACACUUUUCUGUUUGAAUAUUGCAUUUCUUGAAAAAUGCAGAUUUAGGUCAGUCAAAAUCUGAUUAUGAACCAAUGUUAAUAAGUGAUUUGUUAGCAACAGACAUUUCUGACUGAAGGUUAAAAUUAUUUCUUUGCUGCUUUUCCAAAGAGAAUGUUUCACUAAAAUAUUUACACUUAUGUUUUGAAAUAGAAGGACAAAGCAAAGCAACCUAAAAACAAAGUGACAUUUUAUUUGGUUGAAAUGAUUGAUGAGAGGAAAUGGAAGAGGGGAAUAAGGGAGUAUUUCAUAUUGGGAAACUUCUCCUUUGUUUACCUGUUUGUUUCAGGUCUGAAUAAAUCAAACCACUUCUUGA